AUCAAGCUGGUCUCGAACUCCUGAUGUCAAGUAUCUGCCUGCCUCAGACUCCCAAAGCGCUGGGAUUACAGACAUGAGCCACUGUGCCCAGCCCAGUCAUUCUUUAAACCCAUCUGCAGCCCACUCCCCAAGACAUUCCCAGGAAUUCCACUCCCCGCUCAUUCUGCCCUCUAGGACUUCUUGACAUACAUGUUUGACUCCCUGUCCUGAAGUAUUCACUCCCUGGUGAAUAUAUCUGCUCAGAACCAGAAGCUCUCUGGGGGCAGGAUUUGAGACACAAUUGUAUUUCUGUUCCCCAUAAAACACAGUCAAGCACUGGGCACAUAAAGCCUGGGUUGAAAUUUCAUUCAUUCAUCCACAAGUGUUUAUGGAGCACCUUCACCCAUUCUGGUGCUGAGUGCCAGAAAUAGACAAGAAAUCCCAAGUUCUGGCCUGCAAGGAGCUCAUACAGAGGCUUGCUAUGUUGCCCAGGCUGGUCCUGAACUCCUGGCCUCAAGACAUCUCCCCACCUUGGCCUCCCAAAGCGCUGGGAUUACAGGCUGGAGUUUGCUGCUGUCCUCGUCUCCUGCUCAUGGACAUCUGGAGAAUGUCAGAACCAGAGGAAAGAAUGACAGUCACUGGAUGCCAGAUUCUUCAUCAAUGCUGCAAGAUGUCUCUGGCCUCACUUAGCAUAGCGACAGAGCCUUAAGUGAACCCAUGCUUCCUGGAUCCCCACUUAGCCUUGUCCUUCCUGCUAGUGGGUGAGCGAGAGAGAGGGGCCCCCUGGCUAAGAGACUUGGCAGGGGUGAUGACAAGAUGCUCAGCAGGAUAGAGCCAUCAGACUGUGGCUGUCAUCGGGAAAGACAGAGACGUUUCUGCUUACAACUUUGAGGCUUCCAAACUUUUCCUGGUACGAGAGAGUGUUUCUUCCACCUUAAACUACAUGAUGGAAAGAUAUGUGAGAAUAG
rnacentral:lncRNA from 10 species